UACGGGGGGGGCAAGCGUUGUUCGGAAUUACUGGGCGUAAAGGGCGCGUAGGCGGCCUACUAAGUCGGACGUGAAAUCCCUCGGCUCAACCGAGGAACUGCGUCCGAUACUGGCAGGCUGGAAUCCGGGAGAGGGAUGUGGAAUUCCAGGUGUAGCGGUGAAAUGCGCAGAUAUCAGGAAGAACACCUAUGGCGAAAGCAGCUCUCUGGGACGGUACUGACGCUGAGACGCGAAAGCGUGGGGAGCGAACAGG
rnacentral:rRNA from 1 species